UACGUAGGGACCAAGCGUUGUUCGGAUUUACUGGGCGUAAAGGGCGCGUAGGCGGCGUGUUAAGUCACUUGUGAAAUCUCUGAGCUUAACUCAGAACGGUCAAGUGAUACUGAUGUGCUAGAGUGCAGAAGGGGCAACCGGAAUUCUUGGUGUAGCGGUGAAAUGCGUAGAUAUCAAGAGGAACACCUGAGGUGAAGACGGGUUGCUGGGCUGACACUGACGCUGAGGCGCGAAAGCUAGGGGAGCGAAUGGG
rnacentral:rRNA from 1 species